AGUAGCGAGUUUGUCUUCACAUUACAAGUCCAUAUCUAAACUACCAUCACAUAGAAGAGGGUUGCGGUGACGAUGAGCAUCAUCGCGAUGAAACUGAUCUUCAUCCGGUUCCCCCUCCACUCCCUCCUCUCUCCUACUAGAUAGCGCGCGUAUCUAGCUUCUGCCUCCGCCCUAGUGGUGUACCCUUUGUAACUAUUACCGCUGAAACGGUGAACCUGUCUCCGACACUCCU
rnacentral:lncRNA from 1 species